rnacentral:rRNA from 1 species
AACGAACGCUGGCGGCAUGCCUAACACAUGCAAGUCGAACGAGACCUUCGGGUCUAGUGGCGCACGGGUGCGUAACGCGUGGGAAUCUGCCCUUGGGUGCGGAAUAACAGUUAGAAAUGACUGCUAAUACCGCAUAAUGACUCCGGUCCAAAGAUUUAUCGCCCAGGGAUGAGCCCGCGUCGGAUUAGCUAGUUGGUAGGGUAAAAGCCUACCAAGGCAACGAUCCGUAGCUGGUCUGAGGGGAUGAUCAGCUACACUGGGACUGAGACACGGCCCAGACUCCUACGGGAGGCAGCAGUGGGGAAUAUUGGACAAUGGGCGAAAGCCUGAUCCAGCAAUGCCGCGUGGGUGAUGAAGGCCUUAGGGUUGUAAAGCUCUUUUACCCGGGAUGAUAAUGACAGUACCGGGAGAAUAAGCCCCGGCUAACUCCGUGCCAGCCGCCGCGGUAAGAC